AAGCCAUGGUGUGGGCAUUGAGCUUGGUAGCCCUUGAAUCUCUCUCAGGCUUCACUGAAUGCUUCCAAGUUCUUCUGUUGAAAGCUUGAAAUCUCAUUUCUCAGCUU
rnacentral:snoRNA from 1 species